rnacentral:rRNA from 1 species
GACGAACGCUGGCGGCGUGCCUAAUACAUGCAAGUAGGACGCAGUUGCGAACGAGUGAGUAACGCGUAGGUAACUGCCUAUUAUAGGGGGGUAACUAUUGGACACGAUACCUAAUACCGCAUACUAGUAGUUGGACCUGCGUUGUGUUAGCUAGUAGGUAGGGUAAUGGCCUACCUAGGCGCCGAUACAUAGCCGAACUGGGAGGGCGGGUGGCCACCAUGGGACGGAGAAACGGCCCAGAGUGCUACGGGAGGGAGCAAGAGGGAAACUGGGGCAAGGGGGGGAAACUUGAACGAGCAAGGCGGCGGGAGUGAAGAAGGUUUUCGGGUCGGAAAGCUCGGUUGUUAAGGAAGCGGUACUUAACCAGAAAGCGACGGCUAACUACGUGCCAGCAGCCGCGGUAAUAC